GCCCGGGUGGCGAAAUUGGUAGACGCAUGGGACUUAAAAUCCCUUGUCCUAACGGGCGUGCGGGUUCGAGUCCCGCUCCGGGCACCA
rnacentral:tRNA from 1 species